CUGGCGGCGUGCCUAAUACAUGCAAGUCGAACGCACUCUCGUUUAGAUUGAAGGAGCUUGCUCCUGAUUGAUAAACAUUUGAGUGAGUGGCGGACGGGUGAGUAACACGUGGGUAACCUGCCCUAAAGUGGGGGAUAACAUUUGGAAACAGAUGCUAAUACCGCAUAAAACCUAACACCGCAUGGUGUAGGGUUGAAAGAUGGUUUCGGCUAUCACUUUAGGAUGGACCCGCGGUGCAUUAGUUAGUUGGUGAGGUAAAGGCUCACCAAGACCGUGAUGCAUAGCCGACCUGAGAGGGUAAUCGGCCACACUGGGACUGAGACACGGCCCAGACUCCUACGGGAGGCAGCAGUAGGGAAUCUUCCACAAUGGACGAAAGUCUGAUGGAGCAACGCCGCGUGAGUGAAGAAGGUUUCGGAUCGUAAAACUCUGUUGUUGGAGAAGAAUGUAUCUGAUAGUAACUGAUCAGGUAGUGACGGUAUCCAACCAGAAAGCCACGGCUAACUACGUG
rnacentral:rRNA from 1 species